rnacentral:rRNA from 1 species
AGAGUUUGAUCCUGGCUCAGGACGAACGCUGGCGGCGUGCUUAACACAUGCAAGUCAAGGGGGCCCAGCAAUGGGCAACCGGCGAACGGGUGCGUAACACGUGAGCAACCUACCGAAUUGUGGGGGAUAGCCGGCCCAACGGCCGGGUAAUACCGCAUACGAUCGAGACCAGGCAUUUGGACUCGAUGAAAUCUACGGAGCAAUUCGAGGGGCUCGCGGCCUAUCAGCUAGUUGGUGAGGUAACGGCUCACCAAGGCGACGACGGGUAGCUGGUCUGAGAGGAUGGCCAGCCACAUUGGGACUGAGAUACGGCCCAGACUCCUACGGGAGGCAGCAGUGGGGAAUCUUGCGCAAUGGCCUAACGGCUGACGCAGCGACGCCGCGUGAGGGAUGACGCUCUUCGGAGUGUAAACCUCUUUUGCCCGGGAUGAAUUGCCAGUUUUCACUGGCUUGACGGUACCGGGUGAAUAAGCACCGGCUAACUCCGUGCCAGCAGCCGCGGUAAUAC